GACGAACCGUGCGAACGUUGUUCGGAUUCACUGGGCUUAAAGGGCGCGUAGGCGGGCCAUCAAGUCAGGGGUGAAAUCUUUCGGCUCAACCGGAAAAGUGCCUUUGAUACUGGUGGCCUCGAGGGAGGUAGGGGCAUGCGGAACUUCCGGUGGAGCGGUGAAAUGCGUAGAUAUCGGAAGGAACGCCGGUGGCGAAAGCGGCGUGCUGGACCUCUUCUGACGCUGAGGCGCGAAAGCUAGGGGAGCAAACGGG
rnacentral:rRNA from 1 species